UACGUAGGGUGCGAGCGUUAAUCGGAAUACUGGGCGUAAAGCGUGCGCAGGCGGUUUGUUAAGACAGAUGUGAAAUCCCCGGGCUUAACCUGGGAACUGCAUUUGUGACUGGCAAGCUAGAGUAUGGCAGAGGGGGGUAGAAUUCCACGUGUAGCAGUGAAAUGCGUAGAGAUGUGGAGGAAUACCGAUGGCGAAGGCAGCCCCCUGGGCCCAAUACUGACGCUCAUG
rnacentral:rRNA from 1 species